UUUGGGUCCUUUCAAUCCUGUCAAAAUCUCCUCCUCCAUGAAGUCAUGUUCUGGUCAUAGUUGCAUGGCAUGGCUAGACCAACAAGAGCCAAGAUCUGUAAUCUACGUCUCAUUCGGGACAACAACAGCAAUGAAAGACGAACAAAUAAAAGAAAUAGCACUUGGGUUAGCAAGAAGUGACCAAAAGUUCAUCUGGGUCCUUCGAGACGCCGACAAGGGUGACGUUUUCGACGUCGGGAAGGUUCGAAAAUCAAAGCUCCCAGAAGGCUACAAACACUUAAUUGGCGAUAGAGGGUUGGUAAUAAGAGACUGGGCGCCGCAGGUGGAGAUACUGAGCCAUUGGGCGACGGGGGGGUUCAUGACGCAUUGCGGAUGGAACUCAUGCAUGGAGAGUAUCACGACGGGAGUCCCAGUGGCUGCUUGGCCAAUGCACUCUGACCAGCCGAGGAACAUGGUGCUUAUGGCUAUGGUAUUGCGUGUGGGGGUGGUGCUACAGGUGUGGCGGCAGGAGGUGGUGACGGCAGAUGCAGUGGAGGAGGUGGUUAGGAAGUUGAUGGUGUCGGAAGAAGGGGCAGAAGUAAGGAGGAAUGCAGAGAAGUUAGGGAAUGUCGUGCGGCAGUCGGUGGAAGAUGGCGGUGAGUCUCGUCGGGAAUUGGAGGCUUUUAUUGCUCAUAUUACCAGGUAGAUUCAGUUCUAAUCGGAUGUGUUUUAAAAGAAACAGAAAUUAGUGACAUGAUUGAAGUUUUUGUUCCUGCGAACUUUCCUUAGACUGGUUCGAAUUUCAUUUGGUAGAGAUUUCGUUUGAAAUUUAUAAUUAUGUCAUUUUCAUAAGG
rnacentral:misc_RNA from 1 species